GAUGAACGCUGGCGGCGUGCCUAAUACAUGCAAGUCGAGCGAAUGGAUUAAGAGCUUGCUCUUAUGAAGUUAGCGGCGGACGGGUGAGUAACACGUGGGUAACCUGCCCAUAAGACUGGGAUAACUCCGGGAAACCGGGGCUAAUACCGGAUAACAUUUUGAACCGCAUGGUUCGAAAUUGAAAGGCGGCUUCGGCUGUCACUUAUGGAUGCACCUGCGUCGCAUUAGCUAGUUGGUGAGGUAACGGCUCACCAAGGCAACGAUGCGUAGCCGACCUGAGAGGGUGAUCGGCCACACUGGGACUGAGACACGGCCCAGACUCCUACGGGAGGCAGCAGUAGGGAAUCUUCCGCAAUGGACGAAAGUCUGACGGAGCAACGCCGCGUGAGUGAUGAAGGCUUUCGGGUCGUAAAACUCUGUUGUUAGGGAAGAACAAGUGCUAGUUGAAUAAGCUGGCACCUUGACGGUACCUAACCAGAAAGCCACGGCUAACUACGUGCCAGCAGCCGCGGUAA
rnacentral:rRNA from 1 species